rnacentral:misc_RNA from 1 species
GCGAAUAUAUUAUUUACUGGAAUGAAGAAUCAUUUCAUAUAAGAAAAACCUACAAGUCAUUCAAUGGUUAAUGUGUUUAUCACAUGAACCGUGAAACGUAUAAAACCCUCCUGAAAAUUCUUUAUCCUUGAAUGGAAAUUUAAUGGAAUCUUUAUUCCAACUGAUUAUUUACUUCUAAUUCCUAUUAGCGUACAGCACAUUUGUUUUCUGUACAUGAUUGGUUGCAAUGGUACUCUCAAUUACAUCACAUAAGCAGAGAAAGAAUCACCCAUACUGCCUUGGAUGCCACUCACCUUCACUAUGCUGAAAUUGGUUCAUUCCAACAUUUCACCAUGCUUAAAAAGCUAAUGAACCAAACUCUAAGAGGCCACCUUAGCUCUGGCUGCUGUCUUCUACCUUUUGAAAUGAGAAACCAUUGACAAGGUUGAGGAAUUGCUCUGGCUCCUCACCUACUCUAACAAUCUGCAGAUACCAUGUGCGGAGGAAUUUAGGCUAUCAAAUAUGUCAACAAAAUGCACAUCAACCAUGAAAAUGGCUAUAGUUCACAUUAUUAACAACAAAAGGAAAGCAGAGGGGAAGGGGAAGGUUUAUAGCAUGUAUGAACCAUGAUGAUUACUUCAGCUCAUGUUAUGAAGAAAAAAUUACACCUCAACUAGAAUCCUCUUUACGCAUUUGGGUCUCUCAAAUGGAUGUGUAAUAUGUUUAUUGUAUAUAAACCUAACAAGCUAUAUCAUACUUGGCACGACAUGCCAAAACUUUCGCAUUUUAAGUAUCAGGAAGCAGGGAAUAAAGAAAUGGACUUAACCAGCACUUCACAUAAACUACUUGCCGCAGUGAUAGGUGAUUACUAAUUUCUAAAGUACCCAAUUAUUCGUAUAUAGUUUCCAAUUAAAUUUUAUUGGCUUCAGCAGAUUUGGUAUAAACCAGACUCGCAAAUCUAAGCUUAGCGCAAAUACUUUCAGCCUUGAAUUUUCAAUGUAAAUUGAACCAAAUUAGUCCCAAUACACUAUGUUCACCUACCAGAAAAUUUUUUCCUAAAUUCCUGUCUCUCUCUUUAUAACAACAUUGAGCAACAAAAUGAAGUUUCUAGUACCAUAAAUUUAAACUGAUAGCUUAUUAUGACAAUCACUACUCAAUGUGCACUCUGAUAGGGCAAAACAAUAAAGUUCAAGAUAAAAAUGAUGUCCCCAAGAGUCUAACUGUGAUUUUGCAAAAUUCAUCCAUGUAAGGCUGUCAUGUCAAAGUUUUUUAAUAGCAAAAAUACAAAGGAAAAUAUUGGAUAGGGUCCAGGGCUACUGAAUGAAGGUUCCUCAAUUCAUCUACCUUAGUGUCAUCCCAAGGAAUUUGCUAGUCCAAUAAAAAUGUGCAGAUUCAGAAUUACUGUUUCUGCUAGAGUUUCCUCCCUUAUACAGAUGUUUCCAGUCACUUAUAAUGUAUAAGUAUUGCCUAACAAGAAUCUACUGGCUAAUUCCCUAUUCUUCAUUGCAAUGGCACAAUCCCUUAAAAUUAAGCCAAUUUCAGAGGACAUCCAGUUGACAUCUCUCUCCAUAUUAUAAUUACUAAACCAAUGCCACAAAGAUAGACACAAAAAUGCAUAUUAAUUAUAUUAUAGA